GCGGACAACUGCGCAUGACUUUCCGCGAACAAAUUGUAUGUUCCGUUGUUUUAAAAAAUAAAAAAAAUAGAAAAAGCUAGACUCCGAUAUGGCCCUACUGAAAGUAUGGACGUCGACGAGACUUUUAAACAGGUACAGAGACAAUGGUGACCAUCUUGAAGCAUGUGGGGACAACAGACUGGGAUAGGGAGAGAUUGAAUAUAUCUGACCAACCAGCUGGUCUGUGCAUGCUCUGAGGCCGCGGCUAGGGAAACCAUCUGGGCCGGCAGCCUUGCAUGCCUUGUUAACGUGCUUAAACGUCUUACAUCUUGUAACGGUCGUUGUAUGAAGGAGAAGAGGAGGACCAAUGCGCAGCGUGGGUUAACUUUUUCUUCUCAGGCCCAGACAGCCCACACAGCCACAUUCCAGUACGCUUCCAGCAUGGCCUGCCUUCCACAGCAGCCUCCUCCCCAACUCUGGGGUCAGGAGUUCUGGGUGGUGUCCUGGGCUUUGUGGUCCAUGGGUCAUUGAAGUCAAUGCGCGGCUCCUUGCUGUGUCUUGUCCACCAUGUCAGGCGAUGGAGCUGCAGGGGGAUUGAAGAGGGGAAGAAUGAAUAGGUUAUAACAUGUAACAAAAUGUGUACAUUUUCUUUUCUUUUAACUGAAAUUAAUCACAUAAGUAACAGCGUAUAUUUUGCAAGUCUGUUUAAUGUUUAUGAUUAAUACAUGUGGCACUCUUACAUGGUGCUCUGGAAUGGCCGGAGUGCAGAGGCUGACAGCAGUGAUGACCAGGCCAGUGAGAGCCAGGAGGAUAAGAGCAAAGUACAGGUAGUGGACAUCCCUGAUGAAGGCUGGCCGUAUGUCUAUCUCUCCACAAGAUGGGGUGCCAUACACAAACACCAGCACCAUCUGCACCAAGCCAACAGCAAGGCCCACGAUCAGACCCCAGAAGGCUCCCUGUGUUAACGGUCAUCCACAUUGAACGCACACACAAAGGGACAGUGUUUUGUAUCAAAUCUCAACAUUGUGCUUUAUGACAUAAUAACAAAUAAUGGCAUAAAACCCUUGAUCUGACCUGCUCAUUGACACGCCUCCAGAAGAUGGCCAUGAUGAAGACAGCAGUGAUGGGAGGAGCCAGGUAGCUGGUGAUGGCCUGGAUGUAGUCAAACAGCUGUCCACUGUUGGCUGACUGGAUGAUGGGGAUCCACAGAAUGCUGAGCACCACCAUUACUAAGAUGAACACCCUGCAGGUGAUGACCACAAACAGGAGCGAUGCCUCCUGCUGCUCCAGUGCCAGCUAGUCCAAUGAACAAACCACUGCCAACAUUACUGGACAUCAGAGAGGCCCCAAUCUGAGACAGCAGAACAAAAUGUACUUCAUUUUGUCCAUUUUUAUCUUUGGAUACAGAUAGCUAUUAUCAGUAUCAACUAUUACCAUCCAAUUAUUUAAUGUUACAAAAGAAACAGCUUUCCUCAUUUAAAAUAGAUUAUAAUACUUAGUCUGGAUCAUGAUGAACUUUUUAUCUAGUUGACAUACUAAUUUCUUCACUAAUGUUCAGUUCGAUGCAUAGAGUUUAUUUGAGUUCAAUGCAUGGAGUUCAAUACCAUCAUAAUCUCAGGCUACUUACAGGCCACCAUGUCAUGGAUCUUCCAGCCAAGAAGUAUCCACCCACUGUCCCACGGUUUGCCCUGACAGAAGACUGUGAUAAAGAGUUCAUUUACAUCAUACAUCAAACUAUACUGUCUGUAGAUAUUAGUUACAGCAAAGCCUUCUCAAUGACAUUGCUUUAUACUUAUUAUUUAGUCAAUAUUUCAUUUAUUUGAACAACAGAUUUUGUGAGAGGAAGAAUUCUGAUGAAUUAAUCUCCAGUACAACUUCAGUGUUAGGUCAUUGUACCAGUCUGCCCUCUUCAUACAAUGAAAGCAUCCACCAGGUAAUAGGAGUGUUUAUUACUUACCCAUAUUCCCACAACAAGAACAAAGACGAAGUAUACCACGACCACAACAAUAUCAAGAGCUUCCAAAGCAAACUUUUCAGUUAAUUCAGGCACAGAAGUCGUUGUCGCAAGACUAGGUGUUGAAGUCAUUUUGACAAAAACAUAGAAAACCGUGUGAACUUUGAGGCUAGCAUGAAGCAAGUCAAUAAUUAAUCAGCUUAUCAAGACAAUAUGGAACCCCAUUCAUUGGUCACAUAUAAACCGGAAAGUCUUCAGAAAUACCUAUCAGAUUGUAAAGGAUGUUUCCUGGAAAGAUUUCAGUGGUGACAUUUUCCUAAAAUCCAUAGGAUGUGUAUGUGUGUGCGGUAUGCUCUGUUGGGCAGCUAACAAACAUACUAUUAUGUUCCAGAACUGGUUUGACAAGAACAUUAUCUGGGUUAAACAAUUAUUCUAUAAUGAUGGCAAACUAUAUGAUUAUCAAGACUUCAUGAGAACACAAUGUUACAGUCACUCCUGAGGAGUAUCAAAUUGUUGUUAGAGCUGUCCCUAAAGGUGCUAUUCUUCUUUUAGGAGAAUAUAACAACACUCCAAGUGCAACUGUUGAGGAUUUUGUAGCCUCAAUACAAUUAGAAGGAAUCAACAUUUUAAACUAUAAAUGUAAUAACAUGUAUAUAAGGAAACUAUGUCAAUAUGUUACUAUUCCCUCUGGUAAAGUGUACUGGAAUGCAGCCCAAGUGAACUGGAACAAAGUCUCAUUGUUGUCUGGUAAAUAUUGUAUAUCUAAUAAGGUGAAAGAAGUAUCAUACAAACUCAUUCAUAGAAUCUAUCCUGUAAAGACCUUUAUUAUAUACAGAUUUAAAAUAGCUAUUGAUAACAAAUGUGUAUUUUCUAGCUGUGACCCAGAAACUCUUGACCAUUUAUUUUGGGACUGUUCUUAUGUCAGAAGAUUUUGGAGUGAGUUAGAAUAUUUUAUUUGAAAAGAAACGACUAUUAAUGUUAAUCUGAGAGAAUCUGAUAAUGUUUAUUUUGAUCCAAAUGAUAUGGAAUGUGACUGUCACGCCCUGACCUUAGUUAUCUUUGUUUUCUUUAUUAUUUGGUUAGGUCAGGGUGUGACGUUUAGUUUUUGUAUUGUCUAGGGCGUUUGUAUGGUUAGGGUUUUUGUAUGUCUAGGGGUUUUUGUAUGUCUAGGUGUUUAUAUGUCUAUGGCUGCCUGGAUUGGUUCUCAAUCAGAGGCAGCUGUUUAUUGUUGUCUCUGAUUGGGAACCAUAUUUAGGUAGCCAUAUUCCUUGGUUAAUUUGUGGGUUGUUAUUCUGUUUAGUUGCCUGUUCUGCACUAGCCAUAUUGCUUCACGUUUUGUUGUUUAGUUCUGUUCAGUGUUCUCUCUUUAAUUAAAGAGUUAUGUUUGCUUACCAAGCUGCGCCUUGGUCUCCUCUUUAUGACGACAGUGACGUAACUUUCAUUGUUAAUUUAUUUAUCCAUAAAAUGUAAUGGGCAGAGAACAAACCCCUCUUCACAUUAUUUAAGAUACUUUAAAUAUUAUUUUGAAAUGAAGAGUAAAUGUAAAAACAAAAAAGAAAUAUGCACCAUAAAAGUGUUAGUCUUGAUAUGUAAUACCCGUCUGUUAGGUUUAUGUACUCUUGUUUGUAUAUUUCUAUAAUUUGUAUGUUGUGUUCAUAAUAAAAAAAUAAAUAAACCUAUGGUCACAAAAUUA